CGAACCAGCAAUAAAGGGAACGCUGAAUGUACUCAAGGCUUGCAAAAAGGCCAAGGUGAAGAGAGUUGUAGUUGUGUCGUCUAUAGCCGCCGUCGUUAUGAACCCGGAGUGGCCUAAGGAUCAAGUCAAGGACGAGACUUGUUGGUCCGUUCCCGAAUAUAUGAAAACAACCAAGAAGUGGUACUAUCUUUCGAAAACGGAAGCAGAGCGCGAGGCUCUGGAGUUUGGAAAAAGGAAAGGACUUGAGGUUGUGACUGUUUGUCCUUCUCUCAUUUUGGGGCCAAUGUUGCAACCCACUCGCAAUUGCAGUAGCUUUCUCAUUGCUAUGACUAUAAUAGGUAUCUCUGUGCAUAUUUAUAUAUUAAGAGUACAAGGUACAAGAUAUGUUUCUUGUUUGUGCAAUAUUAAUGUACUAUUGCGUGUGCACACGCGUUCGACUCUGUACGAAUGUGUAGGUGAUCUUGAGUCCUUGCCAUUCAAUUACUGGGCGUUCGUGGAUGUUCGUGAUUUAGCUGAUGCACUGCUUCUUGCAUACAACAAGCCUGAGGCUGCAGGAGAAAGAUACAUAUGCAAUUCACACUCAUAUGGCAUACGAGAUGUGGUGGAGAAAUACUUAAGGCCUACAUAUCCCGACUACAAGUACCCCAAGAAGUAAGUUAAUCCAUUAAACCAGUCCUUCAAUAAUUGAUUAUGGUCUUUUUUUUUCAAUUCAUCCUUCUGUUUGCUUGUGUACCUUAACGAUUGAUCCAUGUUCAUGUUAUUAAGAUAUGUUACCGGUUGUAUUGGCAGCCUUACCCAUGCGGAGGAAGAAGUUCAACACCUUAGUUCCGAAAAAUUGCAGAAGUUGGGUUGGACUUUCCGGCCAGUUGAGGAAACGCUUAAUGAUUCUAUUGAAAGCUAUCGGAAGGCUGGAAUCGUGGGUUAGGAAAAGUUGACGGACCAUUGUAUGUGUUGUGUAUUUUCCCUAGCUAGCUAACUAGCUACCCUUAGUAUGCAGACUGCUGUGCACUAUCACAAACAAAUAAUAGUUCUGCUUAGUAUGAUGAGCAGCAGUGUUUGCUACUGGCUACGCUUAUGCUUCAUAUAAGUAGAAAGUUAAGUUAUGCUCUCGUCUUGAUUCCUACCCUAUAUGUUUGCCGCUUUAGGCUUGGUUUGGUAUUGCUAUGCUUUAAAAAAAAACUGUUUCUACUGUGCUGUGAGAAUAAGCAACUGUAAAAUAAAGCAGCAGAGUGUUUGAUAAACUUUUUUGUAAAAGUGCUUUUGGAAAGAAAAAAAGUAGUAUUAUAGUGUUUGGUAAACUUUUAUAUAAAACAGCUGUGACUGUAUGAAAUGACCAAAAAUAGUAUAAUACUAGAUGUGCCAUUAAUUUAAUUUUCUUAACAAACAAAGGUGAAUUACUAAAUAUACUUUAUUUUUAAAAGAAAAAUAUUUAUAAACUUUAUUAAAUAUUAAUUAGUAUGACAAACUACUUCAAUUGAAAUAUUUUAGACUGAAUAGCUAGGAUUCAUUAGUACAAUAUUGUUAAUGUACUUGAAAGUAGUCUAAUUAGAUGCAUUCAUCAAACUUCCCGCUAUUCUAUUUCUCAAUGGCACGGCCCAAAGAAGUUGUGAGUUCCAACUUUGUUCAUUGUACAACUAGGUUAACGGGUUCUUUCACAAUUACUCUCUAAACCACUUCAAAUAUAGAAUAAUGAGAUUUAAUCAAGUAUAGAAUUUCAAUUAGGCAAUCCAACUGAAUGCCUCAUGUUAAUGCACUUGUCCAAAUGCAAUCUAAAAGAAUUCAACAGAGAGAAGGAAUUGGAAGUACUUUCAACUACUAGUACUACAUAUGCAAUAUCAUACAACUAGGUCACUUUAUACAAAACCAUUCUACAGAAUACACGACUACUUCACAACGACCUAAAAGCAUGUUGAAAUAGCGCUAAGCUGAAAUGUCAUUUUAGAAACUUUUCACAUCCCAAAAUCAUCCAAUCACUCUUCAAACUCAGUGACGUCCAUCACAUCAGUCAUGACAUUCUGAUUCUACGUUUUACGCAAUUCAUCAAUAUUAACGGCUAAUAGUGGAUCAUCCUUCACUUUAUUUGACUUCAAUUUCGCAGGGCAAGCUGAUAGGAGGAAAAACCAAAAGGGUUUAGUAAUCUCACCAAAGUAUAAGUCCAACUGAUGUAGGGGAACAAAAAAUAAAUAUACCUACAACAGGGCAUCGUGUGUUGUUUUCCCGUAAGUAAUGCAUGAUAUGCCCUUUGUCGUAAACAUGCUUGCAUACAACACUGCAUUUGUUGGGGGGGGGGGAAUACACCAAGAAAAAACUUUAGCAUUAGAAAGGUCUACAACAGUGUAGUGUGAGCUAAAGUAAAUAUAAGAAGGGACUGGAAACGCCUAAACACACAUAAAUACUCAAUGCUAGAAGUCUUAUGCCACACCAACAUUCACCAAAGACUGUAAAUUCAUAUUUUCCCAACAAAGAAAAAGAUAAAUGUCUGAAGUAACUAAUACAGCACCUGCGUACUGGAUGCUCCAAUUCAGUGACAGGCAAAUGGUCUUGGGGCCAUAAAUAAUAGAAAUAACUUUUCAUAAAUUGUAGCGAGUGAAUUUUCCUGGUGCAUUGGAUAAUGGCUUUCAUCUACAUGCAAUAGUAUACAGGGAAUGCAUACUAUGGCCAACUAUGGUCUGCUUACUAGAUGUAUCCUAUUGGCGUCUCACAGAGAGGGAUGAAUUUACAGUCCUGGCUACUGAUGGGGUACAUAGCCAGCUAAUUUAUGCUAUUUACAAAAGAUAUAUAUAACAUUUCCUUUCCUUUUCCCCCUCUUAUUCCUUGUGUUAUUGGAAUGUAAGAUUAAAACAUUCUUGGCAGAUUUGGGAUGUCCUCUCUAACAAAGAAAUGGUAGACAUUAUAGCAAUAGCCCCAGCACGUUCUUCUGCAGGUCGAGCACUGGUAAAGACAGCAGUUAGAGCAUGGAGACAGAAAUACCCAACUUCCAAAGUAGAUGACUGUGUUGUAGUUUGUCUAUUCCUUGACUUAACAUAUGUCAAACACAUCGAACAGGGAGCAGUUUAAUACAUUGACAACAGAGCAAACAUCUUUAGAUACUUGAGGUAAAACAUGUUAGUGUAUGUGUGUUUACUAUGUAUUUCAAUGGAGGUUUUUUUGCAACCUUCAAAAUGGCAGAGAAUAUAGAGAGAAUUUCAGAGAUAAGAUGAUGGAAUAUAUUUCUGAUUUUUUUUUUCACACUACAACCAUGUGUGUGUUUAUUACCGUUAUACAUGGAAAGGAAGGGAGAUCCUUCACUCACCAAACCAAGAUACAUCUCAACCCAUAAUUACUAUCACCAUAUGAGAUGAUGCCACUUGUCUUAAUCUAUUACUUAAGCUAGAUACAAGAUUGAGCUGCCAUAUGGACUAUGAUCCAAUGACUCAGAUUCAAACUAAAAACAAAAACAUUUAAAUUGAUCUUUGCGGCCAAGCUUCAACUGAAGAGUUACACACCAACAAAACAUUUGCAUGACAAUACUGCUAUGGUGCUACCCAAAUCGAGCAGUGUAAUAUAUUUAUCUAACUCUAAAGGAUUAUCAUGGCUCUUUACACAUAUAAACAACUACAGAGGUGCCCCUCAAAUAGAAUAUAUUCGGCUUAAACCGAUAUGCAGAGAAACCUUCUAAAGGUUUCUUGAUGUUUCUCUAGGAGCCUUACAAGAUUUAACUUUAAUUAUCCUCAUGGUUCCUCCACAAACCCUUAUUUUUCUUCCCCAAUUAAAUUUUUCCACAAACCAUAUCACCUUCCCCAAUUAAUUUUUUCCUAACCCUACAUCCCCAAUUUUUUUUUUCCUGACACCCAUACACUUAUCCCUUCGCUCUUCCCACCCCUCUUUCACUCACUCUCCCAUGCCCAAAUUCUAAAUCCAAAUAAAUAAAUAAUGAAAUUUUACACAAGAGAAGCUUACCAGAGGAAGGACACCGAGACGGAGAACGAGAGAGAUAAAUGGCUUCUUUCAUAUCUGGGUCAAGAGGUCGUCGAGGUUCGAAAAUGUCGUGCGAAAGUGAAAGUGUGAGAAAGGCAGGAGAAAGGAGAGCAAUGUUGGCAAAUUGAAAAAUUCAUUAAACCGAUUUACUGUUCACCCAUGUUUUCAGAAUAAGCUGCUUUUUGCAGCUUGCGGUUUUUAGCUUUUUUCAUCUAAAACUUUGAAAUAAAGUUGUUUUGGAGUGUUUGGUAAACACCAAAAACUCUCCAACUUUUUUUCAUACCCACUUUUUUUAAAAUCACCUUAGUACCAAACUGGUACUAAAUUCCGUCCAGAUCCAACACCUCUGAGCCUUACACGGUGGGGGGUUUUUGGCUCAAGUGUGAAUUAGGCUUAUUUCUAGCUAAAUCUAUAUAGAAUUUAAUUUUAAUCACAUAUUGCCUCUUGUGAGAAUGUAAAGGUAAAAUAGUUUUAUAUUGGUGAAAGGAGAAACCUUGCAAAGGCUUAUAAGAGGUUGGGCUACUCUCCAUAUUGCCAAUUGGUUUUAUGGUGGAACCUCAACUUUCUUCAUGGUAUCAAAGCAGGUUGACCCAUGUGUAAAACCCAACUGCUACAUGUGCUCCACGCCACCCAAUUCGUGUUGUUCACGCAUUUGGCUUGAAAAUUCACCACACAUGAGGGGGCGUGUGAGAAUGUUGAAGGAAAAAUUUUGUCCUAGCUAAGAACAAGUAUGAACAUUUGAAUACAUAUGCAUACUAUUAACUCAUUAAUAUAGGCAUGCAUCCAAAAACAAUUCAAUAAAACCCAUGACUUUCAAAGCCUAGUAUAUGGUGAACCAAAAUAAACUCUUUAACAACAUUAAAGAGAAAGAAGAAUUUAGUGAUUCUUUACCCUUGAAGCUCAUCCUUGUUUACACAAGGGAUUCACCCAAGUGGAGGGCCUUCAAGUCACCUCCAAGCUCCUUGAAUCCUUCUUGUGUUUUCCUCCCUUUAGUACUCCUUUGAUGAUUUGAGGAAAAAGGAUUUGUUCUCCAAAACACCAAAAGCUUGAUCUCUCUAAGUCUCUUCACCAAGGUUGUAUCUUGUGAAGAUGAUAUGGAUGAUUAAAGAAGAAGAGAUUGCUAGAUGUUUCUUCCUUUAAUGGCCGGCCUCUUGGAAGAAAAUGGAGAACAUGUUUUCACCCAAUUUCAACUAGAAAACCCUUGAAGCUAUAAAGUUGAAUUUAUACUUCAUUUCUUUGGUGAGUGGCAAACUUGCAAUUAAGCAAACUUUGCCCAUCCAACCCUAAUGGCCGGCCUCCUUGGUGUUAUUGGGCUAUUUGCCCAUUUUGUUUUAGUUGUCAUACAACUUAAACGUAAUGGGCCUUUUGGACCAAAACGCUUUUGGGCCCCGAAACCCAAAACCAACAUAUAAGCCCAAUACGAACCUUUCGUAUAAUUAAUUAACUAAUUAAUUAAUCUUGACCAUUCUUCAAUUAAACCAUUUAAUCGCUUAUCCAUUUCAUUUGAUUUCUUCACAUACAUCCUUACUCGGUGUACGAUCCAUUAGGUUCUAAUUAGCGAGGCAGUGGGCGAUGUUACUCUUAACUAUCGAUUGUGAAUUGAAACCACAUUUCAAUUCUCCCUUUUAUUGAUUAGUAUUUGCUAACCAUUAGGGCUUCCACAAACCAUGGUUGACGCCUAGCAGCAUGUCAUGGUUACCCAAGCUAAGUAGAAUUGGUUGGAGAACCUAUCCAGUUACAACUACAAUGCAAUACGGUCAUUCUCUAAUACAAUACUCUUAAUCACAUUGUUUAAGUGAUAGUUGGUUUCAUGUCUACUAUCCAAUGUGAUACUUUCUUAUAUGAUUCCCUUGAAUAUGAUUUGGAACAUCCUUCCUUUAGUCAUAUUCAUUUGCUUUGGCCAAAGACUUUAGAAUCAUAUCUUAGAGUAUUCUCCCUCCACCAUGGAAGGUUAGAGAUCCCUUGUUGUACAUUCAUAUGCCUACAUGACUAGAUAGCUUGACCCCAACAAUGCCGUGGACACUCCGAGGGAAUGCCAUUGACAGGAUCAAAGAUCAAGGACCUAACCAUUAGACAUCUAUGAUGCCUCAGGUCAAAGGACUACUUUGCAUAUUGCAACCUUAGAGUUCUUACAUGACAUGUAUGUUCGAACUCUGAUUUGAUCGUAGUUCAGUGUACUCGAUUACUCUUUCGAGCACCUAUGUGUCUGUCUUAGUGUCCAACACCAAAUCACUUGAGACUAGUCAUACUCACGCUUGAGUCAACAUAACACAUACUAACCUUAGCGGAUUGUCAAUGCCCAAUUGGCAAUCCUAUGGCUAGGAACGUUUUAGGAAUGAACAUAAGAGAAAGGUCUCGAUAAUCUAACUCACUUAGAUCACUUAUCUCUUAGAACAAAUACAUUCCUUGGAUUCACUUAUUGCUUAAACACAUGAUACAAUAAACAGUGAUUAACAAUAAGAUUUGCCCUCCAUUAAACAUAUAAAAGUUUAACAUAAUAAGUAUUCCAAAAAACUAUUACAUCAAAUGAGUGGCUUUGUGGGCAUACUUCCAACAAAUGUGAAGGUAAAAGAGUUCCACAUUUGUGAAAAGAGAAACCUUGCAAGAUCUCAUAAGAAGUUGGGCUACUCUUCAUAUUAUUGAUUGAUUUUAUGAUGGAAACUCAACUUUUUUCACCUCUUAUAACUCAAAGUCUUGAUUUUACUCCCUGGAACUCAAAAUUUGCUCCACUUUGCCCUUGAAACUCGAUUUUGAUCUCAUUUUGCCCUUUUAAACUCAGAAGUAGUCAUUUUACUCACUUGUUCCACUUUCCCUUAAUUAUGUUAAUUCAUUAAGUGGGUUUGAUUUGGAUCCACCAAAUUAAUCAUUUUUUCCCAUCUUUGCAUUUCAAGCACAGAAACCUAAAAAAUUCUAAUUCUUAAUUUCUUCUUUUGAACUUCAUAAUUUUUUUAUUGUUGAAUGCUAACGCGUGAUGAAUAUUUAUAAUCAAAUUCAUUGGAACAUGUGGCAUAGUCAUAUUGAGUGGUGGGUCCCCACAUAUGUACCAAAUGGUGACUUUUGGGUUUCAGAGAGAAAAGAUAGUCUACUAGUCAAAGUGAAAUGAUUUGAGUUUCAAGGAGUAAAAUAGUAACUUUUGAGUUACUAAGGCAAAGUAAAAUUAAAAUCAAGUUCCAAAGAACGUAGGUAAAAAUAAGCAUGCAAAUUACUUCAAAAUGCAUAUGAUAGGAUUUAUAGUACCUGCGCAAAUAGGGGUAAAAUCACUUAAAAUACUUGCAAGAAUAUACCCCGAAGAUUGUUUGACUAAUUCGUAGUUAAAUUAACUCUUAAUUAAUUAUUAAAAUAGAUUUUUAUCAAAGAUUUAAGAUUUUUGAAUUUGAAAAGAUUAAAUUAACAAUAAAAGAAAUUUGGAAGUUUGGAAAUAAUAGCUGCAAAGAAGAAAAACGUUUUUUAAAUUAAACAAUUUAGAGAAAAACUAAGGUUUAGCCAUCACAGUUACAAUCCUAUACAAUUCUACCAAUUACUUAUGAAAUUCCACAUACAUGCUUUGAAGGUUAGGUUUUUCUAUUGCAUAUUUUCCUUGUAAUGUUCAAGCGAAAAAGUAUAUAUAACAUGCAGCCCAUUAGUGAUAUUCAGAUCAAAUAUAAAUAUGCAAGACUUAUUAAACUUUGUGAAAACCCUUUGAAAAACCAUGCAUGUCACAGCCCGUCCCGGGAUUUUUUUUUAUAUCGGGGACGUGAAAUGACGGAAUCACCCUUGACGGGCAUUAAGGUAUGUGUGUGUGUGACAUUAUUUAGACUCAAAUUUCAUAAACUUUGGAAAAAUCUUAUGUGGGGUAUAAUUUUGUGGUUAAGGAAUUAGGAAAAGAAAUGGAUGGUGAGGAUUUGUGAUGAAACACACACACACACUUCCUUCUCUCUCUCCCUUCCCCGUGUCUCUCUCUCCUCCCUCACGACUUUCUCUCUCUCUCCCUCUCGAAGUGUACGGACAAGGGCCAACGCCCUCGAAUCUUCACGGAUCGAAGUAAAUCAGGUAGAGAUGCUUCGUCGUUUUAAGCUGGGAACUAAGAGAAAAUGGCGGACAUUUGCUAGUGCACUUCCUUGCAAUGAUUAUCAUGAGUUUUUCGAGAUUUUGGUUCAGAUGGAGGAUUCCGACAACCUUCCUAGUGACAGUGAGGAUCUCCUUAAGCUCACUGUGAGCUUGAAAUUCCCUUAAAUGCAAGAUUUUACUUGUGCAUGAACAGUGCACAUUUUCGGGGUUAGGGUUUCACGACGAUUCUGAGGGUUUCACAUCUUAAAACCAUUACUAAACGAUUCAAGGGGUCGAAAGCCCGUCCUAGGAUUUUUUUUAUAUCAAUUUGAAGCCCUCAACAUGUAGAAUCACGAUAGACUAGUUUCAAGGUCUAAAAUCCACUAGAUUUUACCUGAGGAAAUUCGAUAAUCCAGCCAAAUUUGAAAGGCUCCGUUCUCCGUCCUCCGACGUCCAAAUUCUACCAACGAAGUACCCCGAAGCUCGUGAGGAUCUCCUUAAGCUCACUGUGAGCUUGAAAUUCCCUGAAAUGCAAGAUUUUACGUGUGCAUGAACAGUGCACAUUUUCGGGGUUAGGGUUUCACGACGAUUCUGAGGGUUUCACAUCUUAAAACCAUUACUAAACGAUUCAGGGGGUCGAAAGGGUGAAGAAUCUCACCUUAUUUACUUCGAUCCGUGAAGAUUCGAGGGCAUUGGCCCUUGUCCAUACACUUCGAGAGGGAGAGAGAGAAAGCCGUGAGGGAUGAGAGAGAGACACGGGGAAGGGAGAGAGAGAAGGAAGUGUGUGUGUGUGUUUCAUCACAAAUCCUCACCAUCCAUUUCUUUUCCUAAUUCCUUAACCACAAAAUUAUACCCCACAUAAGAUUUUUCCAAAGUUUAUGAAAUUUGAGUCUAAAUAAUGUCACACACACACAUACCUUAAUGCCCGUCAAGGGUGAUUCCGUCAUUUCACGUCCCCGAUAUAAAAAAAAAAUCCUAGGACGGGCUGUGACAAUGCAAACCUUAUGAACGUGAUGUUCGCCGUAAGUGAACUUACAAUUACUAAUCACAAGAAACCCUCCUCAAUUUCAGGGUGAUGUUCCAACAUAAAUUGCAUCAAAUUACUUGUCUAAAUAUCCUAAUGGUGAUCAAUCAUUAAAAUACAUAGAUAGUCUUAAUCACGAUGAUUAAUAAUUCAAAGCAAGCAUGCAUCCAUUCAUAAACAAAUUAAUAAAAUCACAUAUUCAUGCUAAGGCUCAUGGCCUAACCCUAGCAAAAGGAAUUAGUUACGCAUACUCAUAAUAAAAAUCAAAGAAAAUAUAAACACCUUGUAGGUAAAAAGUCUGAAAAUUCUCCAAAGCUUUGCUAAUAAGCUCUACAGCCCAAUCUGCCAACACUGCGAGCUGGGUAUAAAUUAAUUCGCCACGAUCUGAUGCUUCGAGAUAAAAUUAUGAAAUUUUCAUAAAUCUUCUUGACAAAUUCACAAACCCACUCCAAUUUGAAUCACUCAAAAAUUCCACUGUUUGAUUACUUUUUGCUCAAAAUAAGUUUGCAUGUCCUACAUUAAAAACACAUAGCAAAACAUCAAAAUCUCACCAAAAUAUACCAAGAAUAGGGAAUAAUAUAUAGUAUAAAAUCGACUCAUCAACAUAAACCAUGUUGUCGUGGUCUAAGUGUGUCUAUUCAACUCCUUUUGAGAUUGACCUUCAAAAUCAUAUCCUGCAGAUAUUUCAUAAUCAUGACAUACUAUUUUCGAAACUGAAAUUGAAAUUCACCCUGUAAUGGUGAAAUCAUGUUUUUCAAUUGUCCUAUGCAAUGAUAAAAAAAAAUCUAUUGAAUAUCAUCUCGUAACUCCGUCUGUGUAAGUUUAUCUUACAUUGCCAGUCACAAGUCCAGAUAAAGGAGGAGGGGGAUGGCAUCAGGUAGUUGAUAGCCGGCACUCCUAGGUUACGUCGAUUCCUUAUGAAAAUGAAUCCAUAAUGAAAUCGCACUAGGGCGUCACCAGUAAGUGGCGCAUUAUGUGGCCCGAGCACAGUGAUAAGUAAGCAAGGGUCGUUGUAUCUCCAUCGGCACCCGGAUGCAGUGUUAAAUGAGUAAGGGGGUCAUAGAAACUUCUUUUUGAACGACUCCACUCAAAGUUGUUUGAGAGCAUAUGCUCCUAUCAACUUUACACAGGACACACAAAAAAAGUACUUUGAUCCUAUUAGACGAGAGAGGGUGAAGAAGCUAGGACAGAAGGGUAGAGUUCAAGAGAGUAUAAUGCGUUUAGGAACGUGGAAUAUAGGAACCUUAACGAGAAAAUCUAUGGAAGUAGUUGAAGUUAUGGUGAGGAGAGGGAUAAGUAUUAUGUGCCUACAAGAAACUAAGUGGGUUGGUCUUAAGGCAAAGGAUCUAGAAAACUCAGGUUUUAAACUUUGGUAUUCGGGCACAAAUAGAACGAUAAACGUUGUUGGCAUCAUCGUGGACAAGACCUUGACAAAAGAUGUUGUAGAUGUCAAGAAGGUAGGAGAUAGAAUCAUGGCAAUCAAGAUUGUAAUAGGACAAGAAAUCAUUAAUGUGAUUAGUGCGUACGAACCUCAAGUAGGGUUGGAUACGAGUUUGAAGGAGAAAUUUUGGGAAGAUCUUGGAGACUUGGUGAAAGGAAUUGCUCAGACGGAGAAGGUAUUUAUAGGAGGAGAUUUAAAUGGACACGUGGGCAAUGAGACAUGCAACUAUGGAGGUUUUCAUGGUGGCCAUGGUUUUGGGGAGAGAAACGAGGAUGGGGAAGCCAUCUUGGAUUUUGCAAUGGCAUAUGAUCUCUUCUUAGUCAACACCUUCUUUAAGAAGAGAGAAGAACAUGUGAUCACCUACAAGAGUGUGUCGUUGAAAACACAAAUAGAUUUUCUUCUAAUGAGGAAAGGGGAUCGUAUAACUUGUAAGGAUUGCAAAGUUAUACCAAGAAAAAGCUUGGCUAAUUAACAUCGCUUGUUGGUGAUGGAUGUACAUAUCAAAAGAGAGAAAAAAGAACAAGACCUAGAAGUGUCCAAGGACUAGAUGGUGGAAUCUAAAAGGAGAAAAACAAGCUAUUUUCAAAGCGAAAGUAAUCACUCAAUGCGUGUGGGAUAGAGAUGGGGAAGCUAGCCAAAGGUUGGAUUCCAUGGCUAGUUGUAUCCGAAAAGUAGCAAAAGAGGUAUUAGGAGAGUCCAAUGGGCUUUGCUCCACACCAAAAGGAAUCUUGGUGGUGGAAUGAAGAGGUACAAACAAAGGUGAAGGCUAAGAAGGAAUGUUGUAAAGCCUUAUAUAAUGAUAAAACCGAUGAAAAUGGUGAAAGGUAUAGAAUAGCGAAGCAGGAGGCGAAGAAAGUUAUGAGAGAAGCUAAGCUAGCAACUUACGACGAUAUGUAUAAGCUUUUCAUAAUCUUUUCAAUGAAGGACAUGAAAGGUUCUUACUACAGAGAACGCGGUCAAAGGCAGAUGAAGAGGUUAUUUUCAUAAUCUUUUCAAUGAAGGACAUGAAAGAAGUACUUCCUUAGGGGAGUUGAGUAACUUAGAAUAGUAUAGAAACUACUCAUUUUACCGCUGAAUCAGGAAGGAAGAAGUGGUUGUAGCUUAGAAAGAUGAAGCAUAAAAAAACAGUGGGCCCAAAUGAUAUACUGAUCGAAGUGUGGAAAGUCUUGGGAGAGACUGGUAUAGCAUGGCUCACAUACAUUUUCAAUAGGAUUUUAAAAACGAAGAUACCAAAUAAGCGGCGAAAGAGCACUUUGGUGCCUAUCUACAAGAAUAAAGGCGACUUACAAAAUUGCAUAAACUAUAGGGGUAAGCUAAUGAGUCAUACAAUGAAGCUCUAGGAGAGAGUCAUUGAGCAUAGAUUGAGGCAACAAACACGGGUUUCGGACAACUAAUUCGGGUUCAUACCAAGGCGCUCAACCAUGAAGGCAAUUUAUCUCUUACGAAGAUUGAUGAAAAGAUAUAGAGAUAGGAAAAAGGAUUUACCCAUGAUCUUUACAGAUUUGGAAAAAACGUAUGAUAGGGUCCCAAGAGACAUUCUUUAGAGGAUUUUAGAGAAUAAAUGAGUACGAGCAGCAUAUAUCCAAGCUAUAAAGGAUAUGUAUGAUGGAGCAAAGACUGCCGUAAGAACUUAUGAAAGACAAACUGAAAGUUUCCCCAUAACUGUAGGGUUACAUCAAGACUCAUCCUUAAGUCCUUACCUUUUUGCAUUGGUAAUGGAUGAGUUAACGGGACAUAUUCAUGAUCAUAUUCCUUGGUGUAUGCUUUUCGCAUAUGAUAUAAUGUUGAUAGAUGAAACUCAGAAAUGGGUAAAUGCAAAGCUUAACCUUUGGAGAGAAGUGGUGGAAUCUAAAGGUCUUCGCCUAAGCCGAUCAAAGACAGAAUAUAUGGAAUGCAAGUUCAGUGCAAAUGGAGGCCAAAAUGAGUUAGGGGUGAGGAUUAGAGAUCGGGAAGUACCAAAGAGCGACCGCUUUCACUAUCUAGGAUCUAUCUUGCAAAAGAACGGAGAAUUAGAUAGAGACCUCAACCAUAGAAUACAAGCUGGAUGGAUGAAGUGGAAGAGUGCAUUCGGCGAGUUGUGUGACCGCCGUAUGCCACUGAAGCUCAAAGGAAAAUUUUAUAGGACGGCAAUAAAGCCAGCGAUGCUAUAUGGCACAAAAUGUUAGGCGGUGAAGCAUCAACACGUACAUAAAAUGGGUGUAGUGGAGAUGAGGAUGCUUCGUUGGAUGUGUGGGCACAUGAGAAAAGAUAAGAUUAGGAAUGAGGAUAUUCGAGGUAAAAUAGGAAUAGCCGAAAUUGAAGGAAAGAUGAGAAAAAAUCGGUUACGGUGGUUUGGACAUGUCCAAAGAAGGCAUACUGAUGCUCAUGUUAGAAGAUGCGACUAUAGGAUAGAGGUCCAGGGCCGAAGGGGUAAAGGAAGACCUAGGAAAAUUUGGAAGAGACUCUAAGAAAAGACUUAGAGUCCUUGGAUCUAACAAAGGAUAUGAUACAUAACCGAGCGCAGUGGCGUUCUAGGAUUCAUAUAGCCGACCCCACUUAGUGGGAAAAGGUUUUAUUGUUGUUGUUGUUGUGAAUAUCAUCUCGUUCUUGAACUGUCGCUCUUAGUUUUAUUCAGUAUUUCAUUUUGGUGGAGAUUUGGAAUGACGCAAAUACGUUUAGCGUGGUGGUAUCAUCUAGCUGCAACAUUGCAUUGGUAAAGUUAUUUUAGUGGGAUCGUAUCAUUUCAUGUGUGUUUUGAUUGUAAUUAUUUCUUUAAGGGAAAUUUUAUUUAAACCCACAUAAUCUCUCAUUACACCCAACUUACUCUCUAUACCCAUAUUAUUUUUAAUUAAACUCUCAAUAUCUCUUUAAAUCUAAAUUUACUACCUAAAUUGCCCUCACAAACCCAAUCAAUAUGUAAAAUUAUCUUUACACCCAUUCAAAAAAUAAAAAAUAAAACUCAAAAGCAUACGUUCUCUCAUCUGAAGUUCUUAUCUUCCGACAUAUCCGUCGUAAUUUCUUUCAAUCUUCCGUCGCUUUGCAAGAGCACACACCACUUUUAGCAUCAAACACAAAUUUAUCAGAAUUUAAAACCUUCAAACUAUCCAUGUGGACAAUAACAAGCAGAAACAAUCUUGGGGACUAGAUUUUGAAUCGUUUGAAGCCAAAACCGAAUUUGGACUAGUUAGAUAUAUAAGAGAAACAACACACCAUUAUCAAUCCAAUUUAUAUGAGCCCCUUGGAGUAGAAGAACAGCCAAGGUUGAGCUCGGAGAAACUUCAGAGGAUGGGUUUGAGUUUCCGACCAUUGAAAGAGACGCUCACUGACUCAGUUGAGAGCUACAAAGAGGCUGGACUACUCUGAUAUUGAAAACAUCUCAGAGUGUGCUUAAUUACGUAGCUAACUACAUUGUUUGAAGUUACACAUCCCACGAUCGAAGAGGAAUUUGGCUUAAUUUGUUUCAAUGCCGAUUAGGUUGGUGGAGUCCAGACAUAUGUUAGUUUUCUGUCUUAUAGCUACUGCCUGGUGGUAGUUUACCAAAUAAUAUUUCGUCUUUUUGUGUUUGUUAGAAAAAAUAAUGCUUUGGCUUUGGCCUUUAAAGCUAUUGAGGGAUAUGUCUCAGGUUCUAGAAUAUGCGUCCCUUGGGGUCCCAGAUUAGGUGUUUAUUGUUUGGAGCUGCUUGAAGGUGUUGAAUAAAAUAAAAAGUCUCGCAUUGAACAUCUUAUGAAACAAAUCAAAAUUUAUUUCAAAUGGUUUCAUUUCUAAUUGCGCAAAGUUUUUAAUGAUAAAAUCCCCACACUUACUGGAUUGCGCAAGUAAUUAAGUUUGAGACAAGAUUAGUAUUUACUGGAUUGUAUAAGUGAUUAAGUUUGAGACGGUAUUAAUGUGAUUAAUAGUGGACCACUGACUUGACCCUCUAAAAUAUUAACAUAAUAAGGGGUCAUUGUCUAGCACCUACUAGUCUUAGCUCAUCAUGUCGCAUAUACACCUUGAUCAUGUUUAAUUAGGUGAAAGUACACCAAUGAAUAAGAGUCACUUAUUUAGUGAAAUUAGUUUUCUAAUUAUGUUUUAAUAGUGAGGUGAUCCGGCAAAAUGCUUUUGGACAGAAUUUGAAUCAGAAUCUUCCGUUGAUGUUAAUUUUAAAACAGUAUUUUACGUAAAUAAUGACAAAGACACACAACUGACUAGCUAUAGCUGGAGACAAGAGCUCGUUCGAUGGCUCGUCCUAGACCUAUCAUUUUUUUACACUCUCCUAGACCUGUCAUUAGUUUUGCAAUUAGGACCAAGCUUCUUUGCCCUCCCACUUUCUAUACACUCUCAUCCUCUCCUAUUUUGUGUGAUCACGGUUAAACCAUGUUAACUUUUUAUAUUGAUUUUUUUACAGAGAUAAUAAGACAAAAAUCAAUAGUAAUAUAAAAUGUUGAUGUAGCUUAACCAUGACCGCACAAAUAGAAGAGGAUGAGAGUGUAUGAGAAGUGGGAGGACAGAGAAGCCAGGUCCUUGCAGUUAUUAAAAAAAUUGCUUGAUUAAUCACGGGUCGAACAAUUCAAAUUUGGAGAACAGUAGAGUCACGCUCUCUCAUUAGAUUGUGCCUCAACAUUGGUUUGAGAAAAUGAUUUCAACAUUUCUUUUCUCAUUUAUUUGUGUCUUGUAAUUCUCGUUUAACAGUUCUAAUAUUAACUAUUUAUCCUAUCAAUGCUUUGUAAUCUUUUUAUUUAAGGGGCUCCGUAUGUAUCUUUAAAGAAGUCAUUCAGUGAAUUUUAAAAAUUAUAUCUAAGAAGUGAGCUAUUUUCUUUUUUGAAAAGCAUUUGACUUGGUCGUGGCAAGCGAAUACGAUUAAUGAUGUCGAGCGAGCUCCGUUUCCUUUUUUUUUUUUUUUUUGAAAAACCUCAAUGGUACGAGGGGGAAUUUUAUUGAUAACAAAAAAAAAAGUUAUACCUAUCCAGGAACAUAAAUCUUACCCCUCAUAAUACAAGAAAAAAAGAUUAAAAAAUACAUGAAAAAAAUGGGGACAUAAACAUUACUCUUCUAGAAACGAAAAUAAUAAAGAUACAAGUAAAAAAGGGAGGCACAUGAAACCUAACCCCUCUAAAGCCAACCUAAAGGUUUAAACCUACAAAACAAAUCAAGCAACAUCAUAAGGUUAAGAAAAGAAAACAGUGUCACAUUAAUUUGGGAAGUGGAAGCCAGGAAAUCCAGCAUAGUCUGAAAACACAUCAACAUGAGCCGCCACUGAAGGGGAAUCAUUUCAUACCAAAGUUGGAGAAAACAAAGUAAAUACGAGCUUAAUUUCCUUUGGUUGAGUGAUUAUCAGGUUAUCUACUCAAUUCAUAUUAUGCAAGAAUUUCGCUUUAUUACAGAGACUUAAUAGUUGUGCCCACUCUCUCACUCUGUUGAGAAAAUUCUUGUAUAGAGAUGAAGGUUUACUAGUCAAUUCAUAUUGUACAUCAACAACUCUUAGUCAACUUUUGAAGUGAAGGUUUUUUUUUUUUUUGUGCACUUGGCAAUGACUAUGAAGAAGCUUGAUUUUGUUGGAUGACUUAUAACAAUGCUUCUUUGCAAACGAUUGAAAGAUUAUAAGAGGCUGUCUACUCCACUCAUGGCACCAUUAAAGUAGUUCUUCAGUUUGCAAAGAUUUAGUUCUGGUGAGAAUUAUCAUUCUUGUUUAUUGGUUGUGGGUCUUUUAUGGAUCCAUAAUUGUAUUAUAUUCAUGAUAAAUUUGUAAUUGUAGAGUCGUGAUGUUUCUUUUGGUAUAUGCAUAUUGUUUAAAGGAUUUUCCAUGUGUUUUUCCUAGCUAAAGUUGUUCUAAGUACGUUGUUUGGUGUGCAAGUCCUACGUAAAUUCUUGAUAGUUCUUACUUGUAUAAUGGUUUGGCCCCCGCAUGUGAAAUCCUAGUUCUGCCCCCUAGUUUCACAUUGAAGAGAUCUAAAAAAUUGCAUUCUGUAUCUUUUACAUUAUCUGAAAACUCUCACUUUGGUGUAUAUAUUAUAUAGUGUAUAGCUCAGUCAUAUGUGAGGAUUGGGAUAGCACUGUAAACAUAGAAAUUCCUACGAUGAAACAAGACAAGAACAAGUGUACAAAAUAAUAUUUUGUAUUAAUGAUUUUGGGGUUACAAUCUCUUUAUAGUCGAUCCUCUGAUUCAAUCUCCGUAAGAUGUAGAUUUGUGGAUGUUUUAUUGAUCCAAGGGUCGUCAAGGCUUGAUCUUGGAUGAACGGUUGGAAGUUUCUUCAAGAGCCUUCGGGGCUUGAUCUUGAAGGUUGAGGGAAGUUUCUUCAAGGCCCUGGAUCUUGAUAGUUGAUGGAAGUUUCUUCAAGGGCCUGGAUCUUGACCUUCGGGGCUUGAUCUUGAGGGUUAAGGAUGAACAGAUCUUCAAGGGCUUUUGGGCUUGAUCUUGAAGAACUGGGAUGAACGGAUCUUCAAGGGCUUUUGGGCUUGAUCUUGAAGAAUGAAUGUUUGGAUUUGUUGAUGUUGUUGAUCCAAAAGGUCGUUGGGGCUUAAUCUUAGAAUGAACGAAUGAUGAACAAUGAACACUUUCUUCAAGGGCCGUCGGGGCUUGAUCUUGAAUUGGUGGAAGCUCUUCAAGGGCCGUCGGGGUUUGAUCUUGAAGGAGGAUUUGACGAAGAAUGAAGAGAGCUUUCUUGAUCCUUCAGGAUUUGCUUGGGAGCUUUAGAGUUUCAAAGUUUCAAGGUUUUGAUGUGAUGUGAAUUGGUCAAUGAAAAUGAAUGCCUUGGCUUCCUAUUUAUAGAAUUCCAAAAAUUGAGUUUUGGAUUUAAAUAAUCAGAUGAAAUAAAUCAUUUCUGCCAGGUGUUGACACGUGUCCUAUUUGAUGACUUUUCUAAUUUAUUUUGAUUUUUCGUUGAGUCACAUGUUACAUAUAAAAUUUAUGUGACACGUGAACAUUGGAAUUUUAAUUAUUGAUCAACAUUUAUUUCACCGAAAUUUUGAUGUACAAGCACAUUUACCCUCAAUGUUAUAGACUUGCAUCUCUCAUAUAUGGAGAUUUUACAAACCCAUACUCGUACAUGAGUUGUAGCAUUCUAUCAUGACUCAAUCCUAAUAUAUGUUCGAGAUUGACACGUGAUGUCACCACAUACAUAUUCAUCGAUAGUGCCUUGCCUCUGAGACAUGACUUAAACAAUUCAAUAGUGUAGUAAUUUUUUCCUUUUAUUUCAUGGAUGCAUCUAACCUCUAUGUUAGACUGCUUACACCCAAAAACAGGAUCUAACUAUUCAUAGUUUACGCUUUGUUAAACUCUAACAUUUCUCAUGAUACUUCCUAGCAGAAAAAAUAAAAAGUUCUAGAAUCACUAAAUAGAACUCGACGAGCAUAAAUCACUAGAUUUCAAACUACAUAACAAAAUGAUAUGACAACUAGGAUUGUCAUUUUGUCAUCCGCAUGUAUCACAAUAUCUUACAACACAGUUUCCCAAUCACAACAAAUAGUUGAUUCCAUGAUUCAUGGAUACACAAUAUUAACAUUUGACAACUUAAUCAAGCAACGAGAUCAAGCAUCCUUUCAUGAAAUUUGAUAAAGUAAAUCUUUGUAUUUCCCAACCUAUAUUCCAAGCAAUAUUGUAACCCUAAUUUACAAAAAUGUCUACAAUUAGUAAUUUCUAUUCAUAAGAAUCUAGAGUUUAGGACAAACUCAACGGAACCAACCAAGAGCUGGGAUUUCAAACCACUCAACAGAAUCCCACUAGGAAGUGUUCGCCCUUCAUUGAUUUACCAAGCACAAAUACUCCUUACAACCCUAAGGAGGAAGUGGUUGCCCAUCGCAAAUACACCAAACACCAUCAUCCCUAGAUAGCCUAUGGUCCCUCAUUGGGGAUAUAACAAGCAAAACUACAGGCAUAACCUAAUCGUGUAGGCAAUGAUCACCGCUAAAAUAUGUAUGGUCCCCCAUAACGGAUAUACCAAGCAGAACCAUAAACAUGCAUCAAAUGGUGUUGUCCCCUAAUGCAUAUUAACCAAGCAAGACCACUCAUGAGCACCAUGUAACCAAGUAGGCAGUGACUCCUAAUGCAGAUUAACCAAACAGGUCACCCCCCUAGAAUAUGUAUGGUCCCCCCCUAAUGCAGAUUAACCAAGCAGAACCAUAAGUAUACACCCAAUAGUGUGGUCCCCCAAUGCGGAUUAACUAAGUAAGACCACGUAUGAGAAUGAGAUAACCAAAUAGGUAAUGACCCCAAAUGCGAAGUAACCAAGUAGGACCAUAAACAUGCAUCAAAUGGUGUGGUCCCCCAAUGUAGAUCAACCAAGUAGGACCACCCAUGUACCACAUUGCUACAUGGUUAAGUUAUAUCAUCACACGUUAUACAUCAUACAUCAUACAUCAAUUCAACAUGAAUCACAAUUGAAAGUACACACACUAUCGGUCAUGAAUUCCACAUGACUAACCAAAGGUCUUGUCAUCGCACGGAAACUGAUGCACACAUCCCUCAGUAUGACUCGCUUACCAAGAUAGACCCACUAGGCUUUAUCGGGUAUCUAGUAAUGUUAAUUUUAGUAUUUAAGAAUGCUUCAUAACAUUUUGACCAAAAGUCAAUAAUUGGUCACUAUGGUCAACAACCCUAGUAAUUCAAUUCGGAAGACCCUACGUCAAAUUUCCGAUUUGUAAAUUCCUAGGUUCCUAAAAUAUUACGUAUAAUCACAUUCUACAAUUUCGUGACGAUCUAACGGUCAGAUCUUCAUCUAGUACAAAGGCCACGUGACGGACCUUUACAAAACUAGGGUCAAAUGGUCGAAUCUCAUCAUACGAAUGUCAAAACCAGAUUUGGAGAAUAGGAAUUGACCUGGCUAAAAGGCCAUAGACCAAAAUGUAGUCCAUUUUGACACGAAAACCGUCUCCAACUGAGAGCCAAGCCAAAAGGCUUGUGGGCCGUACCAGACCAUAAUCCAACCAUAAGGCCAAGCCAGCCAGCCAGCCCGAUUUGGGUAGCCCAAUCCACUUGGUGUUGUUGGUGUUGUGGGUACCGCUCUGGUUAGGUUGCGUCACUCUCCCAUCAUGCCUUAUUUGUAGUACGCUUACUUGCAAUUUUAUGAAGUACUAUUAUUUUAUUUGAGUUACUAUUAUUUUAUUUGUUUUUAAUUUUAUCCUUCAUCAAUCCACAAAAUAUAAUACCAUUUUUAUGAGGUACUAUUAUUUUAUUUGUUUUUAAUUUUAAGAAAUUUUAUAUGCAAUCCGCAUUUGGAGCAGGUCUAUCCUUAUUUUUUUCUUCAAUAUUUUUUUCGAUUUAAUUUAUUUUAUUUCUUAUCUUUUGGCAUAAUUUAUUUUUUUAUUAAUAUGGUAAUUUAAUUCAAUUAAAAUAAUAAAUUAUUAGCCCUCUUCGGUUGGAGAUGAGUUUUUUGUCAAAUGGGUAUGUUUGGCCUAUAGUCCUUUGGCCUUCUCGGUUGGAGAUGAUAUAAAAUAUGGUCUAACAUUGUUCAUUAAAAUAUAAUUUAUUGCAGAAUUAUAGGGCUAAACAUGGCCCUUUGGCAUUUUUUCGAUUGGAGAUGGCCUUAGAGGUGAGUGUAGUGGAGGUGAUCAUCGACGUUGAGGUGAACAGAGGAGGGAGAUUACCUAUGUCAAAGUCCCAGAACUCUCGGGGCUCGAUCCGUCACGAAUGGCAGCCAAACUGGGUCGAUCUUGGGUGGGAAAUGACUGUGGGGAUGAGAGGAGUCUAUCCCAGAAGGUGGCUAAGAUCCUUGUCGACGAAAUUCGCCUGAAUGGACAUCUAAAUGUUUGCCCAAAAAGGGUCAAAAUCGUAGAGAGAUUUAGGGUCGACCCACACGCCCGCUUUCUAAAACGUGAAAGUCUCCCUUCCUAAAUCUGGGACCUUCCAUAAAUAGGUCAAAAAGAUAAAAUUACCCCUUCAUUUGUUUCCUUAUUUCUCCUUUAUUAACAUUCCGAUUCGCAAACGGUUUUCGUCUAUACGUUCGCAAUAUCAAGUUCUAUUUGAAAAACACUAAAAGUGACCUAAAAAGGAUUUUGAAUUUUUAAUGACUAACUAUGAAGUUAAAAUAAAUUCGCGUAAAUACAAAGUAGGUAAAAUUAAAUAGUGAAUCUGAGAAUGGGAUUUCACAUUUUCAAUAUUGCUAUGGAAGAUUCAGCAAGUUGUUGUAGAAUUCAAUAUUGCUUUGGAAAUUAAAUUCAGCAAGUUGUUGUAGGAAUAACUUCGUAGCACCACCCACAUCACUAUUUCACCAAUAAACAUGCACCACGUGGGCAUUCAUCUUUAGUCACAACAUAUAUUAGACAACCCCCACGCAUAUAUAAACAGACAAGUAGAAUGACCAAGAAGAUAUAGGCAAAGAGAUCAAUCAUAAGAGAGGUGGGACUGAGAGGAGUAAGGAAAAUAUAUAACUUGGUAAGAAGACAUAUAGCAAGUAAAGAUAUGGUGGGUGGGACGACUGAUCAGAAGAAAAAGUAUGCGUGACUGGAGCUGGAGGAUUUACUGGCUCUUGGCUCGUCAACCUCCUUCUCUCCAAGGACUAUGUUGUUCAUGGAACCGUCAGGCAACCAGGUCUGUCACUCCCAUCACUCAUCGUAUAUAUAGUCUCAGAAUAUAUAUUUAUAUAUUGUGCGCUCAUGCAGGAGACAGCAAGUAUGAUCACUUGAACAAGCUUGAGAAAGCAUCGGAGAACCUCAAACUGUUCAAGGCAGAUUUGUUGGACUACGACUCUCUUCGUUUGGCCAUUGAAGGUUGCAGCGGAGUCUUCCAUGUUGCCAGCCCUAUACCCACUUAUCUUAAAGACUCAGAACCUGAGGCAAGAAUCUUCCAGAUUAUGUUAUGUUAAUUAAUUAAUGCCUGCCUCACUCGACUUAUAUUAUUUAACCUGAGGCAAGAAUCUUAAAAAAUGCAUAAUAUUAAAAAAAUUUAAUUGAUUUUUAAUAUUUUUAGAAAAUAUAAAAUGAGUAUAAAAGAAAUAAAAACAUAUAGUUAGAUAACUGGAGUCACUCCUAAAAAUACUCUAUGUUUUUUGACCUGGAUCUAAAAGCCCCUUUUUACUAUACGGAAAUCAUAAUGGGAGUUGUUUAUCACUUUACCAUCAUCUAAAUAUCAUAUCCAGAAAAAACCAUUCAAUUUGAAGGUCUUUUAAUCAUUCAUAUACAUCAAAUAAAUAAAAGAUUCAUCAUGAGGGUGCUAUUUGUUAUUAAAAUCGUUGAUUGGUUUUGACACACAUGUAUGACUAAAAGACAUCCGAAUUGAAUGAUAUUUUGAAAAUGAUCUUUAAAUGAUGAUAAAGAAAAUGACGGUUCCAAUUUUAAUGUUCGUCCAGUGAAAAUAUGUUAAGUAUAAGUGGGGGACAAGUAAGUUCUCUUAUGAGAGGAACACAAGCAUUAUCCUUUCAGUUUUGAGUAAAAAACUGAAAUUGUAGAAUAAAUGAAUGUGUUGCAGGAGUUUCUCGAACCAGCAAUAAAGGGAACGCUGAAUGUACUCAAGGCUUGUAAAGAAGCCAACGUGAAGAGAGUUGUAGUUGUGUCGUCUUUAGCCGCUGUUGUUAUGAACCCGGAGUGGCCUAAGGAUCAAGUCAAGGACGAGACUUGUUGGUCCGUUCCCGAAUAUAUGAAAACAACCAAGAAAUGGUACUAUCUUUCGAAAACGGAAGCA
rnacentral:lncRNA from 1 species